rnacentral:rRNA from 1 species
GAUGAACGCUGGCAGCGUGCCUAAUACAUGCAAGUCGAGCGAACGGACGAGAAGCUUGCUUCUCUGAUGUUAGCGGCGGACGGGUGAGUAAUACGUGGAUAACCUACCUAUAAGACUGGGAUAACUUCGGGAAACCGGCGCUAAUACCGGAUGAUAUUUUGAACCGCAUGGUUCAAAAGUGUAAGACGGUCUUGCUGUCACUUAUAGAUGGAUCCGCGCUGCAUUAGCUAGUUGGUAAGGUAACGGCUUACCAAGGCAGCGAUGGAUAGCCGACCCGAGAGAGUGAUCGGCCACACGGGAACUGAGACGCGGUCCAGACUCCUACGAGAGGCAGCAGAAGGGAAUGGUCGGCAGUAGGGGAAAACCUGACGGAGCGGCGGCACGUGAGUGGUGAAGAUCUUGGGAUCGGAAAGCUCGGUUAUUAGGGGUGAACAUAUGUGUAAGUAGCUGUACAGAUCUUGACGGUACCUAAUCAGAAAGCAACGGCUAACUACGUG